GGGCGCUUGGUCUAGGGGUAUGAUUUUCGCUUCGCAUUUUCCACUGAGCUUUCAUGAGAGCUUCAGAAAUAUUGGAAGGGGACUGUGAAAGGUCGGGGGUUCGAAUCCCCCAGCGUCCA